CUAGCGGCGGACGGGUGAGUAACACGUAGGCAACCUGCCCACAAGACAGGGAUAACUACCGGAAACGGUAGCUAAUACCCGAUAUAUCCUUUUCCUGCAUGGGAGAAGGAGGAAAGACGGAGCAAUCUGUCACUUGUGGAUGGGCCUGCGGCGCAUUAGCUAGUUGGUGGGGUCAAGGCCUACCAAGGCGACGAUGCGUAGCCGACCUGAGAGGGUGAUCGGCCACACUGGGACUGAGACACGGCCCAGACUCCUACGGGAGGCAGCAGUAGGGAAUCUUCCGCAAUGGGCGAAAGCCUGACGGAGCAACGCCGCGUGAGUGAUGAAGGUUUUCGGAUCGUAAAGCUCUGUUGCCAGGGAAGAACGUCUUGUAGAGUAACUGCUACAAGAGUGACGGUACCUGAGAAGAAAGCCCCGGCUAACUACGUGCCAGCAGCCGCGGUAAUACGUAGGGGGCAAGCGUUGUCCGGAAUUAUUGGGCGUAAAGCGCGCGCAGGCGGCUCUUUAAGUCUGGUGUUUAAUCCCGAGGCUCAACUUCGGGUCGCACUGGA
rnacentral:rRNA from 1 species